UACGGGGGGGCAAGCGUUGUUCGGAAUUACUGGGCGUAAAGGGCGUGUAGGUGGCCAACUAAGUCAUACGUGAAAUCCCUCGGCUUAACCGGGGAACUGCGUCUGAUACUGGAUGGCUUGAGUUCGGGAGAGGGAGUGCGGAAUUCCAGGUGUAGCGGUAGAAAUGCGUAGAUAUCUGGAGGAACACCGGUGGCGAAGGCGGCAUCCUGGACCGAUACUGACGCUGAGGAGCGAAAGCCAGGGGAGCCAAAGCGGG
rnacentral:rRNA from 1 species